rnacentral:rRNA from 1 species
UACGUAGGGUGCGAGCGUUAAUCGGAAUUACUGGGCGUAAAGCGUGCGCAGGCGGUUCGUUAUGUCCGAUGUGAAAGCCCCGAGCUUAACUUCGGAAUGGCAUUGGAAACUGGCGGGCUGGAGUGCGGCAGAGGGGGGUGGAAUUCCACGUGUAGCAGUGAAAUGCGUAGAGAUGUGGAGGAACACCGAUGGCGAAGGCAGCCCCCUGGGCCGACACUGACGCUCAGGCACGAAAGCGUGGGGAGCAAACAGG